rnacentral:rRNA from 1 species
UACGAAGGGGGCUAGCGUUGCUCGGAAUCACUGGGCGUAAAGGGUGCGUAGGCGGGUUAUUAAGUCAGAGGUGAAAUCCUGGAGCUCAACUCCAGAACUGCCUUUGAUACUGAUAGUCUUGAGUAUGGGAGAGGUGAGUGGAACUGCGAGUGUAGAGGUGAAAUUCGUAGAUAUUCGCAAGAACACCAGUGGCGAAGGCGGCUCACUGGACCAUUACUGACGCUGAUGCACGAAAGCUAGGGGAGCAAACAGG